rfam:Populus trichocarpa isolate Nisqually-1 chromosome 19, whole genome shotgun sequence.
CAAUUUAUCUAAGGCAAAUCCUUUUUAAAUUGUGACAGAUCCACACCUGACUACUUAGAAUCAUUUGUUUUCUCAAUUCCAGCUGCAUCAAUUACUCAUGUUAAAUUAAAAUGUUUAUUUUGAUAUAAAAA